rnacentral:rRNA from 1 species
AAGGGGUGGGCAAGUUCUGGUGUCAGCCGCCGCGGUAAAACCAGCACCUCGAGUGGUCAGGAGGUUUAUUGGGCCUAAAGCAUCCGUAGCCGNNNNNNUAAGUUUUCGGUUAAAUCUAUGCGCUUAACGUAUAGGCCGCCGAAAAUACUGUGCAGCUAGGGAGUGGGAGAGGUACACGGUACUCGAUAGGAAGGGGUAAAAUCCUUUGAUCUAUUGAUGACCACCUGUGGCGAAGGCGGUGUACCAGAACACGUUCGACGGUGAGGGAUGAAAGCUGGGGGAGCAAACCGGAUUAGAUACCCGGGUAGUCCCAGCUGUAAACGAUGCAGACUCGGUGAUGCAUUGGCUUGUGG